GUUUAACUCCUUCCCCUACUA
rnacentral:tRNA from 2 species